rfam:Dipodomys ordii contig_60252, whole genome shotgun sequence.
GGGAAUGUGGCUUAGUGUUAAGAGUGCUUGCCUAGCAUGCAUGAAGCCCUGGGUUCGAUUCCUCAGUACCA